rnacentral:lncRNA from 1 species
GUCUUUGAUUUGUCUCCCUCUGUCGUCUUGUCCAAUAUUCGGUCAAUUUUCUUUCAUUUGGCGAGGAUGCCACCCACCACUAGAUCUCCACUAGAAGCGAAGUUUGUUCCUUAUGGUAUACUUCCCAACCUAGUUAAAGAGGUUAUGAUUCGUACGUACUCGUUGUCGAUUUAAAGUAGAUGAUCGAGGAUGCGGCGUUCAUGUCGACGGACGUGAUUGGUUGUAGUAGUAGUUAGUGUUGAGGUGCCUAGAGGAAGACGGAUAUUGCUAAAGGUAUUGCAACAACUUAUUGUGAUUGUUGUUGAGAAGUAGCAUGAUAAUGAUAAUCUAAGACAAACAAAUCUUGAUGGGCCACAAGUAGUUAGCCAGGGUGAGUACUAGAUGAUAACCCCAUCUAGAGAGAAUGAUGUUGAUAUAGAGAAAUUCAUGAUACUUAAAUCCUUACCUUUUCUACGUCUAGUGUGCGUGAGGAUCCACUUAAAUUCAUUGACUAUCUAAAGAGGUUAUAAAAAGCAUUAGGAUGCUCAGAUAUAAGGGCG